rnacentral:rRNA from 1 species
AACGAACGCUGGCGGCAUGCCUAACACAUGCAAGUCGAACGAGACCUUCGGGUCUAGUGGCGCACGGGUGCGUAACGCGUGGGAACCUGCCCUUAGGUUCGGAAUAACUCCCCGAAAGGGGUGCUAAUACCGGAUAAUGUCUUCGGACCAAAGAUUUAUCGCCUUUGGAUGGGCCCGCGUUGGAUUAGCUAGUUGGUGGGGUAAAAGCCUACCAAGGCGACGAUCCAUAGCUGGUCUGAGAGGAUGAUCAGCCACACUGGGACUGAGACACGGCCCAGACUCCUACGGGAGGCAGCAGUGGGGAAUAUUGGACAAUGGGCGAAAGCAUGAUCCAGCAAUGCCGCGUGAGUGAUGAAGGCCUUAGGGUUGUAAAGCUCUUUUACCCGGGAUGAUAAUGACAGUACCGGGAGAAUAAGCUCCGGCUAACUCCGUG